rnacentral:lncRNA from 1 species
UUCUAAUAUUAACUAUUGAUGUAUUUACAGAUAUUGUGUCAAGUUUGAAGUAACGAAGGUGUCGAAAGCGUGUCACACCGAUUCCGACUACAAACCUUUACGUGAAGGCGGCACGGUUUGUGUGUUAUGCGAGGCGGAUGCGCUCCGCCGCGAUCUCAAGUGGCGCUGCGCCGGCCACGGAGUCGUGGGCCACAUAACACGUUUCUACGCACUCCUCGUGCCGCACUGUCACGGGAAAUGGGUGCGAGCCGACCACAACCCGGACAAAAGAAGCGACUGCUGUUUGAACCCUGAUUUUAUCUUCGUUUAAUUAAAAGUGAAUAAACAAAUUGUCUUAUUAAAAAAAAAGGGGAAACAUCAGAUUACAUUAAACAACUAUGAGACUUAAUAAGGUUGAUAUUAAGGGGCAUAUUACGUUGUAAAUUAUAUAGCAUCAUAUUGAGAUCAACGAGAAUUUAUUGAGGGACUAUCAACAUCAGUAUAAAGUUGUAAACUAUCUUCUAUAAUUUAGGAAUGAUAUUGUGAGAUCAAUUUUCGUUUCUACCCUGUAUAAUGUACUAUAUACAUAUUGUAAAAUAUAUGGUCCUAUAUAAUAAUAUACGACUGUGUAAUAAGCCCCUAAAAGGAAUGCAAAACUUACCAUUUUACACCGUCAGCACACGAACGCCGCGAACCACAAAAAUGAUGUAAGGUAGAUAGAGCGAGACGCAAAAUACCCAAUACGUUCCAAUAGUGUAGGGCAGAUUCUGAUUUAUUUUUCUCCAGAGGGUACUUAGGUUAGUCCUCUGUGGCGUCGCUUCGUUACCGCGUCUGCGGUUCGCGGCGUAUAUAUGUAAAC